ensembl:snRNA U6 U6 spliceosomal RNA
GUGCUCACUUCAGCAGUGCAUAUACUAAAACUGGAGUGAUGCAGAGAAGAUUAGCAUGACCCCUGCAUAAGGACGAUGCGCACAUGUGUGAACUGUUCCGCAUUUUU